ACGCGAACGCUUCCGGGUCUCGCGGCGCGAGGUUUCCAGUCAUGUGAUACCAAGAUGGCGGCUCCGCGGUAGCUGGCUCUGGGUUGUGGCGUCCGGGGAGUCGCGACGGUUUCUGCUCUCUGGCCGUGGGGGCUGCCACGCCUGGAUGGUCCGUGCGGCGGCCCGUAUCCCCGCAUUGGGCACCUGUUCAGGGCUGAGGCUGUUGCCGUGGCGGUGGGUUCUCGGGAGUGCCGGUGACCUCUCUGCGGGUGCCCUGCGCCGGCUGUGGUCGCCCGAGGAGUAGAAGGGCAGCCGGCCUCCCGGGUCUUCCCUACUCGCGGAGUUCCUCAGGCCUCCGAGAGCUCUGGAGGAGCCACAUCUCUGAGGGGCUGCGGGAGCUCGAGCCCGCGGGUGUGUGACCGGCUGCCUCGUACCCCUGAGGGCGCAAAGAAGCCCGCAAGGACUGCUUCCUCCUCCAGAGGCCUGGCUCCCUCGCGUUGGCUACCCCCGCAUUCUUGCCCACUUCCUCUCAAUGUUCUCACCAUAUACCUGGAAAUAUGAUCAGCGCCCCUGACGUGGUGGCCUUCACCAAAGAGGACGAGUACGAGGAGGAGCCUUACAAUGAGCCGGCCCUGCCCGAGGAGUACUCGGUGCCGCUCUUCCCCUUCGCCAGCCAAGGAGCCAGUCCAUGGUCCAAACUGUCCGGGGCCAAGUUCUCUCGGGACUUCAUCCUUAUUUCCGAGUUCUCUGAGCAGGUGGGACCCCAGCCCUUACUGACCAUCCCCAAUGACACCAAAGUUUUCGGUACUUUUGAUCUCAAUUACUUCUCUUUGCGGAUCAUGUCUGUGGAUUACCAGGCCUCCUUCGUGGGCCAUCCCCCUGGUUCUGCGUACCCCAAACUGAACUUCGUGGAGGAUUCCAAGGUCGUGCUGGGAGACUCCAAGGAGGGGGCCUUUGCCUACGUGCACCACCUCACCCUGUAUGACCUGGAGGCCCGUGGCUUCGUGAGGCCCUUUUGUAUGGCUUAUAUCUCAGCAGACCAGCACAAAAUCAUGCAGCAGUUCCAGGAGCUCUCAGCUGAAUUUUCCAAAGCUUCAGAGUGCUUGAAAACAGGCAACAGGAAGGCAUUUGCUGGGGAACUUGAAAAAAAACUGAAAGACUUGGAUUACACCAGGACAGUGCUGCACACCGAAACGGAGAUCCAGAAGAAAACCAAUGACAAAGGCUUUUACUCAUCUCAGGCCAUCGAGAAGGCCAAUGAGCUGGCCAGCGUGGAGAAGUCCAUCAUCGAACAUCAAGACCUGCUGAGGCAGAUCCGCUCGUACCCUCAUCGGAAGUUGAGGGGGUCUGAUUUGUGCCCUGGGGAGACAGAGCACACCCAGGAUCCGCCCAGCCAGGCAGCCACUACCUCUGACCCCGAAGAGUCUGCUGACACAGACCAUUACGCCUGCAGACCCGCCUACACCCCAAAACUCAUCAAAGCAAAGUCCACCAAGUGUUUUGACAAGAAGCUGAAGACCUUGGAAGAGCUCUGUGACACCGAGUACUUCAGCCAGACCCUGGCCCAGCUCAGCCACAUUGAGCACAUUUUCAGAGGAGACCUGUGCUACCUCCUGACCAGCCAGAUCGACAGAGCACUCCUGAAGCAGCAGCAUAUCACAAACUUCCUCUUUGAAGACUUGGUAGAGGUCGAGGACAGGGGGGAAGAGAAACAGGAGAGUGCACCCCCGAAGCCCAGUCACGACAGGCCGCCUUCCAGGGCUGUAGAAGAAUGUCCAGUUCCUCAGGUGUUAAUUAGCGUGGGCUCCUACAAGUCCAGUGUGGAGUCCGUGCUAAUCAAGAUGGAGCAGGAACUUGGGGAGGAGGGGUCCAGGGAAGUGGAGGUGACAGAGGCAAGCAGUUUUGACCCCCAGGAAAACUUGGACUACCUGGAUAUGGACACGAAAGGGAGCAUCAGCAGUGGAGAGAGCAUUGAGGUUCUCGGCACGGAGAGGGCCACCUCUGUGCUGUCUAAGUCUGACAGCCAGGCCAGCCUCACGGUGCCCUUGAGCCCCCAGGUGGUCCGGAGCAAGGCUGUCAGCCACAGGACCAUCAGCGGGGACAGUAUUGAAGUCCUCGGCACCUGCCCCUCCGAGGCCCUCAUCCCCGACAACUUCAAGGCCAGUUACCCAAGUGCCAUUAAUGAAGAAGAGUCCUACGCAGGUGACGGCAGGGGAGCCAUCCACUUCCAGGCAGGCCUCAGCCCGCCGGAGCUGGGGGAGGCCGAGGAGGGCGGCUCGGGAGUCAGCCCGUCCCAGACAGACUCCUGCUGCAUUGGGAGGGAGGGUGGCACUCUGCGGGUGCCGCUGUCCACCCCGGGCCACACGCUCUCCGACGAGGACGGGGUCGUGAGUGUCCCCCCGCAGCGCUACCUGCAGAAGGACCCGGAGUUCCACGUGGACUUCUCAGUGGAAAACGCCAACGCCUCUUCCCGGGACAGCGGUUCCGAAGGCUUCCCUGCUUACGAGCUGGACCCGAGCCACCUGCUGGCUAGCCGGGAUGGCAGUAAGACCAGCCUGGAAGACCACUCCGACGCCACCAGCUACGGGAGCAGCGCCACCUCCGCCAGCUCCGACAGGACUUCCCCCUCUGCUCCUCCCACCGGCCCCUCUUCCGAGAGGCAUAAGAAGAGGGCGGGCCAGAACGCCUUAAAAUUCAUCCGCCAGUACCCGUUUGCCCACCCAGCCAUCUACUCCCUGCUCAGCGGGAGGACGCUCGUGAUCCUUGGGGAGGAGGAGGCCGUGGUCAGGAAGCUGGUGACCGCGCUGUCCAUCUUUGUCCCCAGCUACAGCGUCCAUGCCAAGCCCGUGAAGCACUGGGUCUCCUCUCCUUUGCAUAUCACGGAUUUUCAGAAGUGGAAGCUCAUUGGCCUGCAGAGGGUGGCGUCCCCUGCCGGUGCCGGCACCCUCCACGCCCUGAGCCGCUACAGCCGCUACACGAGCAUCCUGGACCUGGACCGGAAGACCCUGCGCUGCCCCCUCUACAGAGGCACCCUGGUGCCCCGGCUGGCGGACCACCGCACGCACAUCAAGCGGGGCAGCACCUACUCCCUGCACGUGCAGAGUGCGCUCACGCAGCUCUGCGCCAAGGCCUUCCUCUACGCCUUCUGCCGCCACCUGCACCUGCCCGCCCGCGGCACCGAAGCCGAGGGGCUGGCCGCCAGCCGCCAGGCCAGCUUCUUGCAGCUCAACCUGGGGCUGGUGAACGAAGACGUCAAGGUGGUCCAGUACCUGGCAGAGCUGCUGAAGCUACACUACACGCGGGAGCCUUCCGCGGCCGGCCAGCCCGUGCUCAGGUUUGACUACGUCCCCAGUUUCCUGUACAAGAUCUGAGGUCAGGCCUGGCCACUGUGAGCAAGACCCUUGUGGUAAAACACACCUGGAGCAGCCACAGUGGUUGCUCCUGCGCACGCGCGCUUGUCUGUCGGGGCCGUGUUCUGUGUCGUCAGAGUCCUGCUGUUGAGACGUGGUCCGCCACCAGCUUUGCAGCACACCACAGCGGUCAGGACCCCCUGGUGACCAAGGAGGCUUCCAGCAUCUCUCCCCCGUGGCCCU